AGAGUAAAGAUGGGAAAACACCUUUGCACAUGACAGCAAUCCAUGGUAGAUUUUCAAGAUCCCAAACCAUCAUUCAAAAUGGAGCUGAAAUAGACUGUGAAGAUAAGAAUGGAAAUACCCCUUUGCACAUAGCAGCUAGAUAUGGCCAUGAGCUAUUAAUCAACACUCUGAUUACGAGUGGUGCUGACACUGCAAAGCGGGGUAUACAUGGGAUGUUUCCUCUCCAUUUGGCAGCAUUAAGUGGAUUUUCAGACUGCUGCAGAAAGCUCCUCUCAUCAGGUAGGAUACUCUUUUAAAUUCUUAC